rnacentral:lncRNA from 1 species
UGGACGUGAGAAGGAGCCUUGUAUAUCCUUUGAAUCAUGGAGGAAGUUUAGGACAAUGAACAAAAUGUGAGCUGCCCCCAUAUUUGCUGCUUCUGUAUCUAUCCAGCUGUGUAGAGAUGUUGGCCAACAGUAACCCAGUCCUCAUUGAUUCUUUCUGAAGCAGACUUUCUACAAGAAGCGGAGCUCCUUUUUCAAAAGAGUCUAACAUGAAGCUCUGAUAUAUAAAGUAUGGAACAGUCUGGCUGAAGUAAGGAAGGGGUCUGUGUGGCCUGGCUUCCUUCUUCCUCCUCCUGUCUCAACAUAAGCAUGGCCUCUGGACCCUGGACAUCCAGAAAAAGCAGGCAGAAAACCACUGAUCUAACUGCAAACAAUCGGCAGAGCCGGAAAAGGUAACUGAAGAUGAAAGUUAAAGCAAAUUGCCCAACAUCUCCCACUGGGUCAAAAAGAGGCCCUGAACUGAGAUUGAAGCCCAGUCCGCCUGACUGCAGAGCCCAGCUGCACCCCAAACUCCGUCCGAAUGCUGGAAUUACCCCCCCGCCUUCACCAGGGCCACCUGCCUGCAGACACUGCCUGCAAACUGCUCAAAAGAUGCCCAGGAGAAGAGAGAGGAGCAAAAGACGUCCCUAAUUUCCAUACCCGGCAAUCCGCUAUACAAACUCUCUAGUAACUCUUAAAUGCUAUUGGAAGCAAUUAAAUAAAAAUCCUGGGAUAAUGACUUGUUUUUAACAUUAGAGCCUAAA